rnacentral:tRNA from 1 species
AUUAAAAUACCCUCUCUAGGGGUUGCCCUAUAAUAUAACAAUAUUAUAAAGUUACGACCUUUUUUUAAAA